rnacentral:lncRNA from 1 species
GUGUGAACCCAGGCAGGUCAUCCCGUCUCUGGGCCUCAUCUCUUCGUUGUAAAAUAUGUCAAGAACAGCAACAACAAAAAUGACAACAAAAAAGCCAAAGAUCAUAAGAAGAUGCUCAAAGGGUGAAGAGGAAGGAAAUCAGAAGACAAGCCUCUGUUCUUCAUUACUUCCUGGGUCACGAAGGGCUCCCUCACUCUCCACCUCCCGCCCAAGAGUGCCCAUUUCCACGCCCAGAAACAGCAAUGGAGGUGCUAGGACCCAGCAAGUUUCAGAAUUCAUCUUCUCCCAUAAAACUAUGGCUCUUAGUUCUGGAGCAGAUAAAAAUAAAGGCAGAUGACGAAGCCCACAAACGUUU